GAUGAACGCUGGCGGCGUGCCUAAUACAUGCAAGUCGAGCGAACAGACAAGGAGCUUGCUCCUUUGACGUUAGCGGCAGACGGGUGAGUAACACGUGGGUAACCUACCUAUAAGACUGGGAUAACUUCGGGAAACCGGAGCUAAUACCGGAUAAUAUUUCGAACCGCAUGGUUCGAUAGUGAAAGAUGGUUUUGCUAUCACUUAUAGAUGGACCCGCGCCGUAUUAGCUAGUUGGUAAGGUAACGGCUUACCAAGGCGACGAUACGUAGCCGACCUGAGAGGGUGAUCGGCCACACUGGAACUGAGACACGGUCCAGACUCCUACGGGAGGCAGCAGUAGGGAAUCUUCCGCAAUGGGCGAAAGCCUGACGGAGCAACGCCGCGUGAGUGAUGAAGGUCUUCGGAUCGUAAAACUCUGUUAUUAGGGAAGAACAUACGUGUAAGUAACUAUGCACGUCUUGACGGUACCUAAUCAGAAAGCCACGGCUAACUACGUGCCAGCAGCCGCGGUAAUACGUAGGUGGCAAGCGUUAUCCGGAAUUAUUGGGCGUAAAGCGCGCGUAGCGGUUUUUUAAGUCUGAUGUGAAAGCCCACGGCUCAACCGUGGAGGGUCAUUGGAAACUGUAAAACUUGAGUGCAGAAGAGGAAAGUGGAAUUCCAUGUGUAGCGGUGAAAUGCGCAGAGAUAUGGAGGAACACCAGUGGCGAAGGCGACUUUCUGGUCUGUAACUGACGCUGAUGUGCGAAAGCGUGGGGAUCAAACAGGAUUAGAUACCCUGGUAGUCCACGCCGUAAACGAUGAGUGCUAAGUGUUAGGGGGUUUCCGCCCCUUAGUGCUGCAGCUAACGCAUUAAGCACUCCGCCUGGGGAGUACGACCGCAAGGUUGAAACUCAAAGGAAUUGACGGGGACCCGCACAAGCGGUGGAGCAUGUGGUUUAAUUCGAAGCAACGCGAAGAACCUUACCAAAUCUUGACAUCCUUUGACAACUCUAGAGAUAGAGCCUUCCCCUUCGGGGGACAAAGUGACAGGUGGUGCAUGGUUGUCGUCAGCUCGUGUCGUGAGAUGUUGGGUUAAGUCCCGCAACGAGCGCAACCCUUAAGCUUAGUUGCCAUCAUUAAGUUGGGCACUCUAAGUUGACUGCCGGUGACAAACCGGAGGAAGGUGGGGAUGACGUCAAAUCAUCAUGCCCCUUAUGAUUUGGGCUACACACGUGCUACAAUGGACAAUACAAAGGGCAGCGAAACCGCGAGGUCAAGCAAAUCCCAUAAAGUUGUUCUCAGUUCGGAUUGUAGUCUGCAACUCGACUACAUGAAGCUGGAAUCGCUAGUAAUCGUAGAUCAGCAUGCUACGGUGAAUACGUUCCCGGGUCU
rnacentral:rRNA from 1 species